GGCCAGACUCCUACGGGAGGCAGCAGUGGGGAAUAUUGGACAAUGGGGGGAACCCUGAUCCAGCGACGCCGCGUGAGUGAAGAAGUAUUUCGGUAUGUAAAGCUCUCUCAGCAGGGAAGAAAGAAAUGACGGUACCUGACUAAGAAGCCCCGGCUAACUACGUGCCAGCAGCCGCGGUAAUACGUAGGGGGCAAGCGUUAUCCGGAUUUACUGGGUGUAAAGGGAGCGUAGACGGCGAUGCAAGUCUGAAGUGAAGGGCCGUGGCUCAACCGCGGAACUGCUUUGGAAACUGUAUAGCUUGAGUACUGGAGAGGCAGGCGGAAUUCCUAGUGUAGCGGUGAAAUGCGUAGAUAUUAGGAGGAACACCAGUGGCGAAGGCGGCCUGCUGGACAGAAACUGACGUUGAGGCUCGAAAGCGUGGGGAGCAAACAGGAUUAGAUACCCUGGUAUG
rnacentral:rRNA from 1 species